UACGUAGGCAGCAAGCGUUGUUCGGAUUUACUGGGCGUAAAGGGCGCGUAGGCGGCCACCGCAAGUCAGUUGUGAAAUCUCUGGGCUUAACCCAGAACGGUCAGCUGAUACUGCGGGGCUAGAGUGCAGAAGGGGCAACUGGAAUUCUCGGUGUAGCGGUGAAAUGCGUAGAUAUCGAGAGGAACACCUGCGGCGAAGGCGGGUUGCUGGGCUGACACUGACGCUGACAGCGCGAAAGCUAGGGGAGCGAACGGG
rnacentral:rRNA from 1 species